UCUUCUUCCUCCUCCCAAGCACAAUCAAGGGUUGAUUAAAAGGGAGGAAAUCAGCCAUCAAAAGAAGUCUUUGCAAGGGAGCUAGCACCCCGGAAAGACAAGAGAGCUUUGAUCGGAUCUCUGCUUCGUGUGGAUACCCGUAGAGGCCGGACGUGUGAACGGCUUCAUACGAACCUUCAUCCUAAAACCACGAACUCCAGUUUGCGGUGAUCAUCUACCCGCACAAGGUGAAGAU
rnacentral:lncRNA from 1 species